rnacentral:rRNA from 1 species
GAUCAUGGCUCAGGAUGAACGCUGGCGGCAGGCUUAACACAUGCAAGUCGAGGGGCAGCGUGGAGUAGCAAUACUCUGACGGCGACCGGCGGAAGGGUGCGUAACACGUGAGCGACUUGCCCGAUACAGGGGAGAUAACCGGUGGAAAACGCCGACUAAUAUCCCAUACGACAUGAGGCUGCAUGGCCUUAGGGUUGAAAGGUUCGCCGGUAUCGGAUAGGCUCGCGGGACAUUAG